GACGAAGGGGGCUAGCGUUGUUCGGAAUUACUGGGCGUAAAGCGUGCGCAGGCGGUUUUGUAAGUCUGUCGUGAAAUCCCCGGGCUCAACCUGGGAAUUGCGAUGGAGACUGCAAGGCUAGAAUCUGGCAGAGGGGGGUAGAAUUCCACGUGUAGCAGUGAAAUGCGUAGAGAUGUGGAGGAACACCGAUGGCGAAGGCAGCCCCCUGGGUCAAGAUUGACGCUCAUGCACGAAAGCGUGGGGAGCAAACAGG
rnacentral:rRNA from 1 species